rnacentral:SRP_RNA from 1 species
UGGCAAGCUAGUCUGGGUAGCCCGGCGUUACCUAUAACCUGAAAUCGCCGAUAUGCAGGAGACGAAACCAAGGGGCGAUACUAUGAACAAUUUCAAACCUACAAUUUCAACUGCGAAACUUCGUCCUAUUUGGAUGAUGUUGAUAUGAAGGCUUAUCGGAAGAUUUGUUUUUAUAUCUUAAUUGUGAAAACCGGCCGAGGUCCGGAAGGGAGCAGGCUUAUCGCAUGCACUCAUCGCUUAUAGGGUCGCGAGGUGGAGACGAAAUUGCAGAUUAUUUGAAUUUGGAAUUAAUAUCCACCUGCGGUGUGCUUGCCA